AUCGAACGCUGGCGGCAGGCUUAACACAUGCAAGUCGAGCGGAUGAAGGGAGCUUGCUCCUGGAUUCCGCGGCGGACGGGUGAGUAAUGCCUAGGAAUCUGCCUGCCAGUGGGUGAUAAUGUCCGGAAACGGGCGCUAAUACCGCAUCCGUCCUGAGGGCGAAAGUGGGUGAUCUUCGGACCUCAUGCUAUCAGAUGAGUCUAGGUCCGAUUGGUUAGUUGGUGGGGUAAAGACCUACCAAGCCAGCAAUUGGUAACUUGUCUGAGUGGAUGAUCAGUGACAUUGGAACUGAAACUCAGUCCAUAGUCCUACGAGAGGCAACAGUAGCGAAUAUUGGGCAGUGGGAGAAAGUCUGCCACAGCCAGGCCACGUCUGUGAAAAAAGCCUUCGGAUUGUAAAGCACUUCAAGUGGGGAGGAAGGGCAGUCAGUUGAUACCUAGCUUGUUUGACGGUAACGACAAAAAAAGCAACGGCUAACUUCGUG
rnacentral:rRNA from 1 species